AAUAAACGCUGGCGGCGUGCCUAACACAUGCAAGUCGAUCGAGAAAGUCCCUUCGGGGAUGAGUACAGUGGCGGACGGGUGAGUAACGCGUGAGAAUCUACCCUUCAGUGAAGAAUACCCUCGAGAAAUCGAGGUUAAUACUGCAUAAGUCCCUACGGGGAGAAAGGCGGCCUCUUUGCUGUCGCUGAAGGAUGAGCUUGCGUACUAUUAGCUAGUUGGUGAGGUAAUGGCUCACCAAGGCAAUGAUGGUUAACCGGCCUGAGAGGGUGUUCGGUCA
rnacentral:rRNA from 1 species